rnacentral:rRNA from 1 species
GACGAACGCUGGCGGCGCGCCUAACACAUGCAAGUCGAGCGAUGAAAUUUUAACCGAUCUCUUCGGAGAGAAGAUAAAAUGGAUUAGCGGCGGACGGGUGAGUAACACGUGAGAAACCUGCCUUUCACAAGGGGAUAGCCUCGGGAAACCGGGAUUAAUACCCUAUGACACAUUUCCUUCGCAUGGAAGAAAUGUUAAAACUCCGGUGGUGAAAGAUGGUCUCGCGCCUGAUUAGCUAGUUGGUGGGGUAACGGCCCACCAAGGCCAUGAUCAGUAACCGGGCUGAGAGGGUGAACGGUCACAUUGGAACUGAGACACGGUCCAAACUCCUACGGGAGGCAGCAGUGGGGAAUAUUGCACAAUGGAGGAAACUCUGAUGCAGCGACGCCGCGUGAGCGAUGAAGGCUUUCGAGUCGUAAAGCUCUGUCCUAUGGGAAGAUAAUGACGGUACCAAAGGAGGAAGCCCCGGCUAACUACGUG